GGGCUCUUGGCACAGUUGGUAGCGCGCACGCUUUGCAUGCGUGAGGUCGUGGGUUCAACUCCCACAGUGUCCA
rnacentral:tRNA from 1 species